rnacentral:rRNA from 1 species
AUACGGAAGGUCCGGGCGUCAUCCGGAUUUAUUGGGUUUAAAGGGAGCGCAGGCGGAGAUGCAAGCGUGACGUCAAAUUUCGGGGCUCAACCCCGUCUCGCGUCGCGAACUGCGUCCCUUGGUUGCGGGAAGGGGAGGCGGAACUCGUGGGGUAGCGGUGGAAUGCAUAGAUAUCACGAAGAACUCCGAUCGCGAAGGCAGCCUUCCGGCCCGUCAACGACGCUCAUGCUCGAAGGUGCGGGUAUCAAACAGGAUUAGAUACCCUGGUAGUCCGCACAGUAAACGAUGGACACCCGCGGUUUGGCCUGUAUGGCUGAGCCGCCAAGCGAAAGCGUUAAGUGUCCCACCUGGGGAGUACGCCGGCAACGGUGAAACUUAAAUGAAUUGGCGGGG